CAAAUCAUUUUCUCCGUAAUUCUAUGUAUAUCAUAUGAACUUAAAUUAUGUGUAGUAUCAAUAGAAAUAUUUUAUAUAAAAUGAGAGAUGUAAACUAGAAAUAUAUGGUUAAUUAUACAUAUGUUCGGUUAUCUUCGAAUAUCCAUUUGGGUUCGGAUAUUACCCGUUCGGGUUCGGAUAUCCAUCUCUCCUAAUUUAAUACACGUUCGGAUAUUUUGCUACUUCGGUUCGGGUUUUUUGGAUCGGGUUCGGGUGCGGCUUCAGAUAUCGGGUAAAGUGCCCACCCCUAGGUUGAAGUUUUUAGAUUUUGGUUUUGUUUUCAUUGAAUAAUGUUUUUCAUUUCAUGAGAACUUGGUUUUCGUUUUAUGCUUUCAUUUAUUUGGUUUUCUUUCGAUCAAUAAUUAUGUUUACCUUUCACUUGAUUUUGAAUGAUCACAUUUGAUGUUCCUUUCUUUUUUUGAGGCGAUUUUAUUUAUGUUUUGGUUACAAAAUAGGUACAAAUCAAGUAUUUUAAAACCGAAGAACCGGUUUUACUUACUUUUUGGUUACAAAGUAGAUAUAAAUCAGGUACAUUUAAAC